rnacentral:lncRNA from 1 species
CAAAGUUUCAAUUUUUUUAAUUAGGUGAUUGAACUAUCAAUUUUUUUCAAUUGCAACAAAUUGAGUUGCCACGUCAGAAAUUGCUGACGUGACCCUCGAAAUGGAGCCAUCACCAGCUGAUGUGUAAAUAAAAAAAAUUAUUUUAAUAUCUAUUUACACAUUUAUUAUACAUUAAGGGCAAAUUCGUCAAAUCACUUAUAUUAAUCAUUUAAACUAAAUAAAAACAACAAAACUAUCUAAAAUUUAUACCAGAUCAAAAAUAACAAAAAAUCUAAAACAACAAAAUCUAAAAUCAUCAAAAACUCCUUUUAGCCAAAUAUUGAAGAUCAAGAUCUGCAACCAAAAUCUAUACCAUAUCAGAUCGAAAAAUCAUAUACAUCUCAGAACAAAAAAUCUAUAUCAUCUCAGAUCUGCUACCCAUAUUAAAAAUCCACAUUUUUCUUGCCAAAAUCUAUACCAUCUCAGAUCCCAGAAACCACGCUGAUGCCGACACCAACCACCGCCACCCACUCCAUCUGUCACAUUAAUACUGAUUUAUCAGCCACUCCGCCACCGACUCCCCCUUCCCCUCUGGCGUUACCCACAACUCCCGUUACUGAUGAUGACAAUAGCUCUUCCCGGCGGCGUCAGAAUUGCGACGGGUUUUCUCCUACUUGCCUCCAUGUCUGACUGACUAGUUUGGUUUUUCCGGCGCCGGAGCUCCCUUCUCCCUUUUCCAGCCGACAAAAUGGCCGGAACUGCCCACUUGCAUCACCCAUUUUCCCUCUCAACACAGCAUCCAAGCCAAAACUGAGGAAGUCAAGGAAAACGAGAAAGAAAAAAUCCCAAUUGAAGAAGAACAGAAAAUUUGAUGAUUUCCUAAACAAAUCGAUUUUAUCAAGAUUAUUUUUAUUUUUUUUGGAACGAAUUUUUGGUGAUAGAUCUGAGUUUGGGAUUUUUGGUGAUAAAUUUGGGAUUUUGUUUGGAACAGAUGUUUGGUGAUAGAUCUGGGUUUAGAAGAAGCACAAAUCGAUUUAGGGUGCUUUUAAAUGAGGUUUGACCUUUUUACCUUUGGACAUUUAAUAAAUAUAAAAAUUUAUUUGAAAUAAUAAUUUUUAAUUACAUGUAGACAGUUAUCAGCCUAGUCAGCAGGCCACGUCAGCAAUUUCUGACGUGGCAGACCCAAUUGAAUGAAAUUAAAAAAAAAAUAGUUCAAUCAUCUAAUUGAAAAAAUUUAAAGAUAA